rnacentral:RNase_P_RNA from 1 species
UGGAGAGGACUAAACGGUUACCGGAUGCUCUCGUUAGCAACUGAGGAAGGUCCUUUCUUCCAGGCAAGCGACGCAGUGAAAGCUGUCAGGUGGAAACUUGGCUCUGAGAAUAGAAACGUAAAGUGAGUACGGUUUAACUUUGAUACUCGGCAGCAAUGCUCAGUUGAGAUUUCCGUACAAGAAGCGUUGAAACGACUCAUCGUCGCGGAAGUAAGCUCAAAUUGUCUUCGAUGACUGCCAAGAGAAGCGGGUUGAGUGCGUAGAUUGAUACCGUGAGAGGAGCUCAUCUUCUGGUGAUCCUCGACACAGAAAAAGGACUAUUUUCCUCUCCA